rnacentral:rRNA from 1 species
AGCGGAACGAUCCUAGCUUGCUAGGAGGCGUCGAGCGGCGGACGGGUGAGUAAUGCAUAGGAAUCUGCCCGGUAGUGGGGGAUAACCUGGGGAAACCCAGGCUAAUACCGCAUACGCCCUACGGGGGAAAGCAGGGGAUCUUCGGACCUUGCGCUAUCGGAUGAGCCUAUGUCGGAUUAGCUAGUUGGUGAGGUAACGGCUCACCAAGGCUGCGAUCCGUAGCUGGUCUGAGAGGAUGAUCAGCCACAUCGGGACUGAGACACGGCCCGAACUCCUACGGGAGGCAGCAGUGGGGAAUAUUGGACAAUGGGCGAAAGCCUGAUCCAGCCAUGCCGCGUGUGUGAAGAAGGCCUUCGGGUUGUAAAGCACUUUCAGUGAGGAAGAAAGCCUUGAGGUUAAUACCCUCGAGGGAGGACAUCACUCACAGAAGAAGCACCGGCUAACUCCGUGCCAGCAGCCGCGGUAAUACGGAGGGUGCGAGCGUUAAUCGGAAUUACUGGGCGUAAAGCGCGCGUAGGCGGCUUGAUAAGCCGGUUGUGAAAGCCCCGGGCUCAACCUGGGAACGGCAUCCGGAACUGUCAGGCUAGAGUGCAGGAGAGGAAGGUAGAAUUCCCGGUGUAGCGGUGAAAUGCGUAGAGAUCGGGAGGAAUACCAGUGGCGAAGGCGGCCUUCUGGACUGACACUGACGCUGAGGUGCGAAAGCGUGGGUAGCAAACAGGAUUAGAUACCCUGGUAGUCCACGCCGUAUACGAUGUCGACUAGCCGUUGGGCUCCUUGAGAGCUUUGUGGCGCAGUUAACGCGAUAAGUCGACCGCCUGGGGAGUACGGCCGCAAAGUUAAAACUCAUAUGAAUUGACGGGGGCCCGCACAAGCGGUGGAGCAUGUGGUUUAAUUCGAUGCAACGCGUAGAACCUUACCUACCCUUGACAUCGAGAGAACUUUCCUAAGAUGGAUUGGUGCCUUC